UUCUUCUUCACGCCUCUAUCUACGUCUUGCCAUCUUUUGUUUCAUUUCUGGUGGCCCCUUCUUUCCUUCAUUCCACUGUGCAGGUUGCAGACAAUGAGCUAGUUGGUGCGAUCAAGAUUAUGUCUUGCCAUGGUGAGAAUGUUUGCUCGCACAAUCUCCAAGGGUCAUAUUUCAUGCGCAGCCUUUUUGUUCCCGAGCGUCUUCACCAUUCUCAGAUGUUCAUAGGCGGCGUUAAACCGACUAAUGCAAACAUUUCCACAAUAUCCUUUUUGAUUUUUUCUUUGUUGUAUUGUUUCUUAGAUAUUAUUUGCUUCCCCUUUUCGUUUGUUUAGAUUUCUUAAGAUGGCUGUUUUAAUUUCUUUCUCAUGCA